rnacentral:rRNA from 1 species
UUAAAUUGAAGAGUUUGAUCAUGGCUCAGAUUGAACGCUGGCGGCAGGCCUAACACAUGCAAGUCGAACGGUAACAGGAAGCAGCUUGCUGCUUUGCUGACGAGUGGCGGACGGGUGAGUAAUGUCUGGGAAACUGCCUGAUGGAGGGGGAUAACUACUGGAAACGGUGGCUAAUACCGCAUAACGUCGCAAGACCAAAGAGGGGGACCUUCGGGCCUCUUGCCAUCAGAUGUGCCCAGAUGGGAUUAGCUUGUUGGUGAGGUAACGGCUCACCAAGGCGACGAUCCCUAGCUGGUCUGAGAGGAUGACCAGCCACACUGGAACUGAGACACGGUCCAGACUCCUACGGGAGGCAGCAGUGGGGAAUAUUGCACAAUGGGCGCAAGCCUGAUGCAGCCAUGCCGCGUGUAUGAAGAAGGCCUUCGGGUUGUAAAGUACUUUCAGCGGGGAGGAAGGUGUUGUGGUUAAUAACCGCAGCAAUUGACGUUACCCGCAGAAGAAGCACCGGCUAACUCCGUGCCAGCAGCCGCGGUAAUACGGAGGGUGCAAGCGUUAAUCGGAAUUACUGGGCGUAAAGCGCACGCAGGCGGUCUGUCAAGUCGGAUGUGAAAUCCCCGGGCUCAACCUGGGAACUGCAUUCGAAACUGGCAGGCUUGAGUCUUGUAGAGGGGGGUAGAAUUCCAGGUGUAGCGGUGAAAUGCGUAGAGAUCUGGAGGAAUACCGGUGGCGAAGGCGGCCCCCUGGACAAAGACUGACGCUCAGGUGCGAAAGCGUGGGGAGCAAACAGGAUUAGAUACCCUGGUAGUCCACGCCGUAAACGAUGUCUACUUGGAGGUUGUGCCCUUGAGGCGUGGCUUCCGGAGCUAACGCGUUAAGUAGACCGCCUGGGGAGUACGGCCGCAAGGUUAAAACUCAAAUGAAUUGACGGGGGCCCGCACAAGCGGUGGAGUAUGUGGUUUAAUUCGAUGCAACGCGAAGAACCUUACCUGGUCUUGACAUCCACAGAAGAAUCCAGAGAUGGAUUUGUGCCUUCGGGAACUGUGAGACAGGUGCUGCAUGGCUGUCGUCAGCUCGUGUUGUGAAAUGUUGGGUUAAGUCCCGCAACGAGCGCAACCCUUAUCCUUUGUUGCCAGCGAUUAGGUCGGGAACUCAAAGGAGACUGCCAGUGAUAAACUGGAGGAAGGUGGGGAUGACGUCAAGUCAUCAUGGCCCUUACGACCAGGGCUACACAUGUGCUACAAUGGCGCAUACAAAGAGAAGCGACCUCGCGAGAGCAAGCGGACCUCAUAAAGUGCGUCGUAGUCCGGAUUGGAGUCUGCAACUCGACUCCAUGAAGUCGGAAUCGCUAGUAAUCGUGGAUCAGAAUGCCACGGUGAAUACGUUCCCGGGCCUUGUACACACCGCCCGUCACACCAUGGGAGUGGGUUGCAAAAGAAGUAGGUAGCUUAACCUUCGGGAGGGCGCUUACCACUUUGUGAUUCAUGACUGGGGUGAAGUCGUAACAAGGUAACCGUAGGGGAACCUGCGGUUGGAUCACCUCCUUACCUGAAAGAAGC